rnacentral:rRNA from 1 species
UACGAGGGGGGCGAGCGUUGUUCGGAAUUAUUGGGCGUAAAGCGCGCGUAGGCGGUUUGUUAAGUCGGAUGUGAAAUCCCUGGGCUCAACCUAGGCAUUGCAUACGAUACUGGCAAGCUAGAGUAUGGGAGAGGAAGGUAGAAUUCCAGGUGUAGCGGUGAAAUGCGUAGAGAUCUGGAGGAAUACCGAUGGCGAAGGCAGCCUUCUGGCCUAAUACUGACGCUGAUGC